rnacentral:sRNA from 1 species
UAUUUGUCGAUUGAGGCAUUACGAAGUC